GGCCCAUUAGUCUAGGGGUCGAGGACGUUGGAUUUUGAUUACGUAAUCAAAAUAGCUUCCAAAGACGCCAGUUCGAAUCUGGCAUGGGCCU
rnacentral:tRNA from 2 species